AUUGAACGCUGGCGGCAGGCCUAACACAUGCAAGUCGAGCGGAUGAAGGGAGCUUGCUCCUGGAUUCAGCGGCGGACGGGUGAGUAAUGCCUAGGAAUCUGCCUGGUAGUGGGGGAUAACGUCCGGAAACGGGCGCUAAUACCGCAUACGUCCUGAGGGAGAAAGUGGGGGAUCUUCGGACCUUACGCUAUCAGAUGAGCCUAGGUCGGAUUAUCUAGUUGGUGGGUUAAAGGCCUACCAAGGCGACGAUCCGUAACUGGUCUGGGAGGAUGAUCAGUCAAACUGGAACUGAGACACGGUCCAGACUCCUACGGGAGGCAGCAGUGGGGAAUAUUGGACAAUGGGCGAAAGCCUGAUCCAGCCAUGCCGCGGGUGUGAAGAAGGUCUUCGGAUUGUAAAGCACUUUAAGUUGGGAGGAAGGGCAGUAAGUUAAUACCUUGCUGUUUUGACGUUACCAACAGAAUAAGCACCGGCUAACUCCGUG
rnacentral:rRNA from 1 species